CCGCGCCCGCCCCGCUCCAGGCGCUGGGAGCGACCGCGGCCGGACAAUCCCGGCGGGGCGGCCCCGGGCAGGCGGCGCAGGAGGCGGAGCGGGGCCGUGGCUCUCCCCGCCGUCGCUGCCGGCAGCUUUGGAAGGUCCGUGCUGGAGAGUGGGAGAAAGGGCCCUGCUGGUUGCCGUGUCCUCGGUGGGCAGCGAGCUCUGACCUUGGCCGGAUGGGCUGCUGAGUAAUGGAACAAUGGGGAUGCGCUUUUAUGUAUUUAGUGACCUUUACAGAUUUCUCCCCCUGCUUCAGACUCAUCACAGCAGGACAGCAUGAAGACUGAAAGUGUAAGAAGAUGUGGAGGGAAAGAGAGAAUCUGACAGGAGCAUUGAACGCACAGGUGUUUCUGGGCAUCUAAAGCAGCAGAGGCUUGGAAGAGACUGUGAAGAAAACAGCAUGGAAUACAGGGAGUAUGAGGAGCACACCUUUCAGAGAUUCCAGGUUGUGUCAAGUACAACACUUUUUGCAGCAGAUUGAUUGUGUCACAGGAGGGAUCUGCCCAGUGUCCAAGAUGAUGUUUGAGAUUGAGGCUUCAGGUGCCAGCCCUAAUAAAGGCCACAGCCUUGGAAUCAGGAUGAAGCUGGAGCCUGAGGGAGCCAGGCACACUCAGGAGAGGCUGACCGAGAGGCUCACAGGCCAUCACGAGGCUCUCUGAAGCAGACUCAUUUCAGGUGCAACGUGGAUUCCCAUCACCGAUCAUCCAAAAGAUAAGUUGGGAGCCACGGCCUGGAGAUGGGGGUGUAGCAGGUUGGGAGUUCUUGGGACAGAUUUAAAAAUUAGCAAAGGGAAAAGCAAACUUGUCCAAGGGCCUCUGAGGACAGCUAAAGGGAGAGGCUCUACUUUUGAUGGCAGCUUUCAGGCGGGCAGUGCAGAACAGCUCUGGUUUGUGUCGUGGUUUCCGGUGUGCCGUGUUCCCUAGUGUGUCUUUGGGGUCCCUUUUGCCUUCUUCCCUCGAGGCCCUCACCACAAGCAUGAUGUGUGGUGUUUGAUGUCCCCCUGUUUGUCACGUUCUGUGUCACGGGUGUCUGCACGUAUUUUUGCUGGAUCUGUUCUGCCCUGCCACAUGGCCUGCUGCAAUAAGAAAAGCCUGGGGAGUGUAAAUUUGUAAUGGGGGCUGUACUUGGGCUCGAGGUGCUGUUUCUAGGUUGACAUAAGGUGUUUGCAGCUUUUGAGUUAUCCUGGUGGUGUUUGACACAUGUUCUAACUUUCUUUCAGGUGCAGAUGCAUUGCAUCCAUGGCAGAGGGUCAGAGUUAGCAGGUGCCGGGCCUUCCUAGGAGCACGCUGUCUGAGAGACACCGGCCCGGUGACAGCAGGACCUUCCCAGCUGACGAGGUGGCCUUUCUUUGCACCUGGCACGGACCGGCAUCGCCAGAUGUCUGAGAGAUAAGUAGAGGGCUAUGACCCACAGAGGGGAUGAAGGCAGGGUGCUGGUUUGGGAAUUACUGGGAGGGGUUUUUGAGUCCAAUUUGGCGGUGGGGGGGUGUCCAUGAAGUGGCCCCUUAGGCCCCAUAAAAGCCAAGUCUCACCUUUGAUCACAGUGCUGAGGCGUUCAGGGCAGAGCAGUCCCGGUGUGUCUGGUGUCACUUGUCUGCUGUGCAUUAUGUGUUGUUUGUGUAUCUCCUGUCUUUUACCUUAGCACAUUGAGGGGCCUGUCAGAAACCUUGGCAUCAUUGUUAGCAUCUGUGAUCUCUGCAUUCCUUGGCCUGGCACCCAGGCUAUAGAACUUUUGACUCGGGAGCUCAGGCAGGCAUCAGACUCUCUUAUCUAUUUAGAAGCAUCCAGUCAGAUGUCUUGUCAGGUCUUGUUCUGAGCUGUACGGACAGCUGUGCCCCACCUGGAUCCAUUAUGGUGGAUUAGGGCUUGAAAGAAUGUGAGGGCAGGCAGAGGAUUCUGACCAUAGGAUUCCUAGGCAUCCAUCUUUACUGUUCUUGGAAUCAAUCAUUCAGUUAGCAUCUUCUUCCUGCAGUGUUCUCUGAGCCUCAUCAGCUCACCGUCAGUUUGAACUCAGUCAUCUCCUUUUGCAUGCUCUCAGUCCUUGCAGCCAUUUUCCUUGCCAGGAGAUUUCUGUUCCUGUUGUGUCCCCAUUGUGUGUCCUGUCCUGUCUGUCCUGUGUCACGGGUGUCAGCACACAUUUGUGCCGGGGCUGCUCUGCCCUGCCGCAUAGCCUGGUGCGAUAGGAGAGGGCCCGGGGACUUGGAAUGUGUAAUGUGGGGUGCAGUUGGACUCCAGAUGGGAUUUGUAGAUGGGCACAGGACAUCUGGAGCUCUUAAGUUGUCCUGCAACAGUGUGACUCUUGUCCUAACGUUUUUUUUCAGAUUCAGAUGAAUUAAAUCUGGGCCAGAAGGCAUCAUCCCGUGUGAGGGGAUUCCCCCGAGCAGGAAGUGAAUCUGGAUAGCAGCAGUCAAGGUGAGCCGUGGAGAGAAGUGGUUGUUAUUGCUCAGCUCUCAAGGAGAACAAUUUUUCAGCAGCUUGAUCAUGUCACAAGAGGGAUCUGCCCAGUGUCAAGGAUGAUGUUUGAGAUUGAGGCUUCAGGUGAGUUGAGGAUUGUGAGUGGGAGAGGGAGGGUGAGCAGGUAUCCAGUUAGGAGUUCUUGGGAGGGGGUUUGCAGGCAGCAGGGUGAGAAAGGGUGUUUAUUUGUUUAUUUGAGGGCCCCCCCACAAGGCUUCUAGCAGAGGCAUUCCCAUGUCUUAGAGCACACAGAGUCAUCCAGUGCACUCACAGGAAUGCCAUUUAACUUUGCCUUUCUCUA